GGCCAGGUAGCUCAGCUGGUAGAGCAGCGGACUGAAAAUCCGCGUGUCGGCGGUUCAAUUCCGUCCCUGGCCACCA
rnacentral:tRNA from 1 species